rnacentral:rRNA from 1 species
GAUGAACGCUAGCGGCAGGCCUAACACAUGCAAGUCGAGGGGUAACAUGAGUGCUUGCACUUGAUGACGACCGGCGCACGGGUGCGUAACGCGUAUAGAAUCUACCUUGUACUGGGGGAUAGCCUUUGGAAACGAAGAUUAAUACCCCAUAGUAAGUAAAGAUGGCAUCAUUUUUAUUUUAAAGGUUACGGUACAAGAUGACUAUGCGUCCUAUUAGUUAGUUGGUAAGGUAACGGCUUACCAAGACAUCGAUAGGUAGGGGCCCUGAGAGGGGGAUCCCCCACACUGGUACUGAGACACGGACCAGACUCCUACGGGAGGCAGCAGUGAGGAAUAUUGGACAAUGGAGGCAACUCUGAUCCAGCCAUGCCGCGUGCAGGAAGACGGCCCUAUGGGUUGUAAACUGCUUUUAUAUAGGAAGAAACAGUCUCACGUGUGAGAUCUUGACGGUACUAUAAGAAUAAGGACCGGCUAACUCCG